rnacentral:rRNA from 1 species
UACGUAUGGUGCAAGCGUUAUCCGGAUUUACUGGGUGUAAAGGGAGCGCAGGCGGCACGGCAAGCCUGAUGUGAAAGCCCGCGACCCAACCGCGGGACUGCAUUGGGAACUACCGGGCUGGAGUGCCGGAGAGGUAGGCGGAAUUCCUAGUGUAGCGGUGAAAUGCGUAGAUAUUAGGAGGAACACCAGUGGCGAAGGCGGCCUACUGGACGGUGACUGACGCUGAGGCUCGAAAGCGUGGGGAGCAAACAGG